rnacentral:tRNA from 1 species
ACCACCUUAGCUUAAUGGUAAAGCAGCGAGCUUAUACCUCGUAACGACAGAUAAUCGGCUGAUCUGGGUUCGAGUCCCGGAGGUGGUA